rnacentral:rRNA from 1 species
CAGUAGCCGCGGUAAGACAGAGGAUGCAAGCGUUAUCCGGAAUGAUUGGGCGUAAAGCGUCUGUAGGUGGCUUUUCAAGUCCGCCGUCAAUCCCAGGGCUCAACCCUGGACAGGCAGUGGAAACUACCAAGCUGGAGUACGGUAGGGGCAGAGGGAAUUUCCGGUGGAGAGGUGAAAUGCGUUGAGAUUGGAAAGAACACCAACGGUGAAAGCGCUCUGCUGGGCCGACACUGACACUGAGAGACGAAAUCUAGGGGAGCAAAUGGGAUUAGAUACCCCCGUAGUCCCUGUCUCUUAUACA